rnacentral:lncRNA from 1 species
AGUACAAUCACCGGGAGAUGUACUACAUCGGUGGGAACUCGGAGAGCGUGGAGCAGAAUGUGAUGCACGCCUACGACAUGGCGUUUGGCGGCGGCGGGUUUGCCAUUAGCUACCCGCUGGCGGCGGAGCUGGUGAGAAUAAUGGACGGGUGCCUCAACCGGUAUUUCAUCUUCUACGGGUCGGAUCAGCGGGUGUGGGCCUGUGUGGGUGAGGUCGGUGUCACCCUUACAAGAGAACGGGGGUUCCACCAGGUAUUUUUUAUGUGGGAACUCGGAGAGCGUGGAGCAGAAUGUUAUGCACGCCUACGACAUGGCGUUUGGCGGCGGCGGGUUUGCCAUUAGCUACCCGCUGGCGGCGGAGCUGGUGAGAAUUAUGGACGGUUGCCUCAACCGGUAUUUCAACUUCUACGGAUCGGAUCAGCGGGUGUGGGCAUGUGUGGGUG